GGCGGAUGGAGGCUGAGAGGCCUGUCUGUUUCAGGCUGCACACAUGGGGAUUCCUUUUGCCCCUGCCAGUGUGGAGACACUCUCUGGGUUGGCUUCAUUUCUGCCCGUCACUGCUGGAUCCAGGAGGAUCUGGGUCCAAGGACUCAAUGGAGGACCACGGAGUCCACAAGACAAGGUUUGGGAACUUUGGAGCAGAAAGGCUAUUCCUGGCAGUCCUUGGGGUAUGCCCAGGCUUCUGACAGCUAGCAGACCCCAGGACUAACUAGGCUCUGGAACUCAGCCUGGCCAUGACCUGCCGGCGGUGCCCUGCUUGUCAUCUGCAGCCUUGUCAGGGCCAGCUCUGUGCACCUCUGAGUCCCCGACGAGCGCAUUGACUUAUGUAACGCUGCUGAGCCAACAUUUAUGAGUCACAGCCAAUUUGCCGACCUCGAGUUACACUGCGCAGAUGCUCCACGUCACGGCUUGCCUUUGUCUCAGAGGCCGUAAGCAGAUAGCAUAACCCCCGCUUACCAUUAGACAUUUUGCAAAUCAUCUGGGCCCGAGCGUGCCGCGGCCAGAUAGUUCAUUUAUGCUGCGGAUGGUAUGAUUUGUAAAGUAAUAAAUUUCCCGUCUCUCUGCCAGCAAUAAAGUACAGAAAGCAGACGAGGCUGAGGCCCUCAGACACACAUGGGCUCCCUGCGAGACCUGGGGGGUGUUCCGUCAGGUUUUGCUCCUCUGUCCCUGAGUUUGCUGGAUUCUGAGAAAUCAGGUUUUGGCCCAUAAAUCCCCUCUUCCGUCUGGGUGACUCCUGGCCCAGCGCGGAUUUGUUAUUAGCCUGUGUAAUCGGGCCCCCACCAUGACCCGUUUGUUACUUCCUGGGCCCCUCUGGUGCUUUCAUUAGAGGGAGAGCCUAGGCAGACAUCACUGAC
rnacentral:lncRNA from 14 species